GCCGGGCACGGUGGCUCGCGCCUGUAAUCCCAGCACUUUGGGAGGCUGAGGCAGGUGGAUCACCUGAGGCCAGGAGUUCGAGACCAGCCUGGCCAACAUGGUGAAACCCUGUCUCUA
rnacentral:SRP_RNA from 1 species